rnacentral:rRNA from 1 species
UAAGCGUGCGCAGGCGGUUAUGUAAGACAGAUGUGAAAUCCCCGGGCUCAACCUGGGAACUGCAUUUGUGACUGCAUGGCUAGAGUACGGUAGAGGGGGAUGGAAUUCCGCGUGUAGCAGUGAAAUGCGUAGAUAUGCGGAGGAACACCGAUGGCGAAGGCAAUCCCCUGGACCUGUACUGACGCUCAUGCACGAAAGCGUGGGGAGCAAACAGGAUUAGAUACCCUGGU